CUAAUUUAGUUGACUAAUCUUUGUUAAAGUUUGUUGUGUGAAUGAAAAAACCCUUGACUUAUUAAUUAGCCUUCCAUAUCAGUCGCGACACCUUCUGGCCUAUGUUGUGACAUAGUUGGUAGUCUAUUGUCUUGGGCGUGUCUUCAAGGCUAUGUCAUAACUGUAACACCCCUAACCCAUAUUCGUCGCCGGAAUAGGGUUACGAGGCGUUACCAGAUAACACACCUG
rnacentral:lncRNA from 1 species